rnacentral:lncRNA from 1 species
CACGAACUCCACUUAAAACCGGGAUUGAAAUCAUGUGCUCCGAAAGGGUAAUCAUUUCCUGCACGUAUACGGCACCUGUCGUGUUAUUUCUUUGUUCAGUUCGGUAAAUAUGGAAGGUUACUAUAACUGAGGAAGAAUAUCAGAUAUGAUUUCUAACACACUUUUGUCAUAAUGAGCUGAUUGGCGGUCGUAAAAUUUCUUGAGUGAUGACC